AUUGAACGCUGGCGGCAGGCCUAACACAUGCAAGUCGAGCGGAGCGGCGGACGGGUGAGUAAUGCCUAGGAAUCUGCCUGGUAGUGGGGGAUAACGUCCGGAAACGGGCGCUAAUACCGCAUACUAUCAGAUGAGCCUAGGUCGGAUUAGCUAGCUGGUGGGGUAAAGGCCGACCAGGGCGACGAUCCGUAAAUGGUCUGAGAGGAUGAUCAGUCACACUGGAACUGGGACACGGUCCAGCUGCCUACGGGAGGCAGCAGUGGGGAAUAUUGGAAAAGUGGCGAAAGCCUGAUCCAGCCAUGCCGCGUGUGUGAAGAAGGUCUUCGGAUUGUAAAGCACUUUAAGUUGGGAGGCGUUACCACCAGAAUAAGCACCGGCUAACUUCGUGCCAACCGCCGCGGUAAUAC
rnacentral:rRNA from 1 species